UAUCUACUCUUGAUCAUACACAAUCGUCUCAUUUCAUUUUCAACUAAAACUUACUUUGCUGUAAUUGCUUCUGUUGCUUGGAAAGUUUAUAAUCGGGAAAUAUCAGGCCUCAGAUUCCAUUCACUCACCAUGGAAAAGUUUUCUUCCCCUCGCCUAACAGCAGCGGCGACGAAGGAGCCCGAAAGGCCAGCCCAAUUCGUAAAACAAUGGACAUCGCGUGAGCGAGGAGCGUUGCGUACUCUGCUGAUAUUCUCCUUUGCCAUGAUCUUCCUACCGAUUAGCGGGUACUUUGCAUUCAAACAUGUACUGUUAGAAGGUCUGUUUGGAUGGGCUGAUGGUGCCAUUGGUGGUGCCAUUGCGUCCGUUGUCAUCAUCCACGUGCUCAUCGCCAUCUACGUGAUCCUCGCGUUUCGCGAAGAUCAAUCGACCAAGACGGACUGAGCUACGUCCGCAUGUAUGUUGUUGUGUUCUUGGCCCCCUGCGGUGGGUCAGUUAUUCUCAUACAUGUACUCGUAUGUAACUUGCUGUCUACAGCAUUGGGUGUACUUGUAUGUACGUACAUUUGAUGUGUAAUUGCCAUUUGGUGUGGUGAAGAGUGAAGACCUGCGUGGUUUCUUUAGUGGUGCUCUCCUGUCUCCGCAGAUUUACCAAUCCCUGUAUGGCAUCUUUACCCGUAGUUCUGGCCUAGGCUGAGUGGUAUAACUAGUGUGUGUGUGUAUGUGACCGACUGUCGAACUGGGCUCUGUUCAUUGUCAAUGCUGCACCGUGCCUUUCUAGGCAGCCGGUAGUGGCGGCAACAUUGCCUCCGCUAGCAGGGCAUCGGCUCUACCCUACCACAUGCCAACAAUUCGUCAGGCUAGGCCUUGCUGCUGGCGAAGCUCGACUCGUACUCAUUACUUCUGCAACCCAGACUCGCGCCACCAGUAUGGCUUCGUGCUUUUGUUCUCAUACGAUUGUGAUCAUUGUUCUCGCAUACGAAUGCUAUCAGAUGUUGGCAGAUUUGCAGCAUAGCAAUCUGGCUAUAUCUAAGCAUGAAAGAGAUAUUAUUUUCAUCAUGAUGUCACUACACUGAUGCAAAACACUAUUGUAUUCCGACAUAAUUCGUUUUUAGUUUUUAUCCACAAAGCGUUGUUCAACGUUUUUUUUUGUACAACGGAUUUUCAUAGGAACUGCAAGUGCAAGUACACGUAUGUUUGUGCCUUGCUAGAUGUGAA